rnacentral:tRNA from 1 species
GGGCCUGUGGCGGAAUCGGCAGACGCGACGGACUUAAAAUCUGCUGGGGCUUACGCCCCUUGAGGGUUCGACUCCCUCCGGGCCCA